UCCUCGAUAGCUCAAUGGUAGAGCACGCGGCUGUUAACCGCGGGGUUGUUGGUUCGAGCCCAACUCGGGG
rnacentral:tRNA from 1 species